rnacentral:lncRNA from 1 species
UCCAUGUGGGUCCAUAUAGAUAUUCAUAUUAUGCGUGAACCCUUAUUCAACACUGUCAACUAACGGUGUAGGUGAAACAGGCCGUUCUUAUACCCCGUCUAGUAUGAGCGACAAAAAUAUAAUAUCUCAAUACCCCGUCCGAUAUAAGGAUGAAACGAGUUGUCUCAUACCCCGUUUAGUAUGAGCGCCAAAAUACCAAUUCUCGAUACUCCGUUUGGUAUGAGGUAACGUUCACGGUAGAGUUCCCUAUGUACUUGGUCUGUCUACAAUCUUCUAGGUUAUUUAGUUAGACUAUCAUUCAUUCAUUCACUUAAUUAAACAAUUUUUCGUUUACAUUUAAUUUCCAGUUUCACAAUUUAACUGU